GCGGCGACAGCAGCCGUGACCUCCGACCCCGCCCGCCGCCGGCCAAUAAGAACGCGGCUCGUCCCCGAACCCAAAAUUUCCACGUCGGCAAAAGUCAAGAUGGAGCGGUGCGCGGCGCGCGGCGCGGCGCGCGCCACCGGCCGCCGCCCGGCGGGACCCGGACAGACGGGACGAGGCCGCCGCCGCCGCCGCCGCGGGGGGCGCCGGGGGGCUGCGGGCGGAGCGGCAGGGAAACUUGUGCUGGCAGGCGGUCCCGGUGCCGGUACCGGAGGAGGAUUGGAGCCUCCGGAGGCAAAGUUCUGUGACACUCCGACUCUGGGUACGAUAGCAGUCAGUGCACUACAGAACUUUGUCUCCGGCGGCGGCGGCCCCGGGAGCCUCAGGUGGACACGUCACUGCCCCGAGCACCCAAACCCGCGCUGCAGCCUUGGAAUAAAGUCUUUGCUGUCGUGGCCUCCCGCUCUGAACUUUUGUUGGGUGUUUUUUACUUUUUUUUUUUGUUUGUUUUUUCCAGGGUUAAAAAAAAAUAGUGCAACAUCUGGGUAUCCGAGGGUUAUUUCGGUGCAGUCAGUCAGGCAGGCCUGGCUGUCGGCAUAAAUGUGAAACUAACUGGUGCUCGGUGCAGCUGAAUCAGUGGUGGGUAUGUGAAUGUGCUCGACACUGCUCCUAACUGUGCUUUGUUCUAAUUGUGUAGCAGAACAGUAGCUUAACUAGGGACUGGGGUUGGCUGAAAGACUUUGUGCUCUUAGCGAAGACCUAAGUGUGCUAAUUCAGUGUUUAGGCCUUGCCUUGUGGUGCUGAGUGGUUUUCCUCUUUAGGAGCCCCAAACCCUCAACUUCUCUUGAGUGACAGCUACAACUUAAACUCAAGCCUCUGCAUCUUCAAAAAUCACAAGGUCCCUUGUGAGUACUGCAAGGCUUUAUCCUUACUGAUGCCGGGGUGGGGGGAGGCUUUGGAAGGGUAGGUGACACCUGUAUUUGUUAGUGCAGUUGCAAGGUUUUAUAACCUUGUUUGACACCUGCGCUGUACUUGACAUGGACAAUGGCUUUAAGGGCUGAGAAAGGAAGGGCCAAACUUUACUACUUUUUUCAGUUCAAGUUGGAAUCUGGCAACAGUACAAUAGCUGGCCCAGCUCUCUAAAGAAAUUUUGCAGAGUUUCUUCUUGAUCUGUAAACUAAGCUGUGGAGUUCUUGUGAGGUGGAUGCGAUCAGCUGAUCAGCUUUCAUCAUAAUGAGAGUAAUAGGAAAAACAGGAAUUGCUAGAGGUCAGGUGGAGUAAGGUAUGGUGAUUUAUUUAAAAUUAAAAAUCAGUCUGUGCUGUAGAGUUUGUUAGCAAGUAAGUCACAGCAGCUGCAUUAUAUGGCAGAUAAGCUGCUUUUAUAUGUACACACAUAUGUGCUAGAGGUCUCAUAUUCUGUUAGCUUUUUGUGGCUAAUGAUCCCCUUUGGGCUCACUAGAAACCUAAAUCAGUUUUCCCUUUCUGCCAGUCUGAAUGUGGAAGGUACAGCAAGAUUAUACAGUUCAUGGGAUUGGGCUGGAAACUGAAAUGCUAUUCUAAGUACAUGAUUUUUAGCUCAAACAGUUUAAUCAAAGGGUAGGUAAAGUGAGGAGCACUUACUGUAUGGCAGCCCAUGUGACCAGCUAAGGCUAUAUUUGGAUGCUGGAGGUUUAAGGAAUCCUUUUCGCUAACCAUUUUUGGCCAAUUGCCUGCUGCUUUAUGUUGUGCAGUGUGACGUCUGCUAAAAAGGACUUGGAAGUCUGGUGUCUGCAACUGUUUAAUCAGUGCAGUUACAGGGAAACACCUUGUACUGUCAGGGCUAAAGUCCCACUGUAUUGUGUUUAGGGGUGGUUCCUGCCUAGCAGGAUAUGUAAUGCAAAUAGCAGUUUCCAAUUUUUGUGCUAAAUGGCCUUUUUUGAGAGGGGCGGUAGAUCUUAUGAAGGCUUCUUAGAUACUCAGAUUUAGUGGUUAAAACUCUAUAUUCUUACAGUUCUGGAAACCCACAGACUGGAGCGUAUGCUUACUCUUCCAGGGUAAGCGUAACGUGUUUGGAUCUUAGCUUAUUUCAGUAUAAAUUCAGCCCAGAAUAGGGGGGUGGGAUCCUGAAGUCUCUUGCACUGGACUGGAUGUGAUGGCAGAUCGCAAACCUGAGUCCAGCUGCAUUGGGAAUGAAGAGUUCGUCCGCUUUCUCUCAGCAUGUUUCAGCUGGAGCCAAUUUUCUUGCCUGCUGUAGUUCCCCAGUGGUCAAGCUGACCAGCUAUGAAGGCAAGGUGAGUAAUGCUUGGCCUGCUGGUAUCCCUCAUUUGUCCUUGCCACAUGUCUGCAGCAUGUUGUACCUCCUGUCCUACAAGUAAUACUUGAAUAGUGACCUUUUGGUGGCACUUCUGCUUUGAUACAGGAAAUCAUGUGGCUUUCAGGUGGGACUAGAAAAGAGCUCAACACUUCCGAUUUUGUGCUUUAUACUUGCACUGAAAUGUAUGUGAUCUGAUAGUCCCCUGGCAUUUGAACUUCCUCGCUUCAUUGCAGCGUAAGACUUUUGAAAGCAAGCUUGAUGGGUGUAGUGGUGCUUGGGGCCUUGAAUGGGAGAUAGAGUUUUGACUAACCUUUUAAGAGUCAUGGUUGAUUAAGAUGAUGCAGGAAUUGGAAACAGGAAGAGAACUGGUGAUGCUAUUUGAAAUAAAAUCUGAAUGCCAAACUGUGUAAGUGCAUUGGUACAGCUUAUUUGCCAAUGACUUCUUGGCAUCUUCUGCUUCUCUGUUAGGCAGUGCCUUGCUGGAGAUGUACUCUAAACUGCUGCGUUAUUUUUCUGGUGCUCCUUGAUACUUUAGAGUGUCUCUUCCAAUUACGGUCCUUUCCUCAUUGGAAGAGUGGCAAAUGAGCAUGCUGAGUAAAUUACAUGAAUUUCCAAAAUAAUAUAUAUAGACCUGUUAUUUGAAGGGGCAGAGGCAAAGGAAAUGAUACCCACCUAUUUAUUGUUCUGCAAGCUGGAGAACAGGAAAGGAGUUUGCUGUCAAGUACUCUGAAGGUUGAGGGUGAAUGUAUCUGAGCGUGGCCUAGGCUUCCUGUGUGUAUUGAUUCAGCUGUAUGUACCUGCUUGAACUCUCUACAUAUGUGCUGAAGUUUGAAUUCAGAAUUUUAAGAGACCUCUUAGAAGCAUAAAAACUGUUGUCUAGUGCAUUUUUCUCUUCCACGUCAGGAUCUCCUUAAAAUACUAAGAUAGAGUUACGUCUUACGCUGCUGGGAGCGUCGAUGAAGCAGGGUCCAUGUUAAAUGGCAAACACUUAAGUUUGCUUUGUGAUGGGAGAUUAAUAAGAGCACAGGGAAUAUAGAGUAAAGGCAAGCUGCACAGCCUGUAGCUGCUUAGUCUCAGCACAUUCCUCAACUCUAUCAGGUCCAGUGGCAUCCUUUCUUUAGCUUCUAGAGAUCUGAUUUCGAGCUAGUGCAGUUUUAAGCAAAAAAUUUAACACUUGUCCCUGUAAUCUAAAAAUGCUGUCAAAAGAUGAAAAGGACAAGUUUUUCAUGUGUGUUUUCAUAAACUAACUUGUACAGUUUUACUAGAAAUAGAAGUAGGCUUGCUGACUUCUAGCAACUGUAUGAUAAACAAUUUAUAAAUAGACCAUAGAGUCCAAUGAAAUACAAAUAAAGUAUUGGAAGUCAUGAACAGACUCCAGAAAACGCUGGGAUAUUUAUAUUUAUCUGCUGCCUGGGCAGCUACACUCAAGAAACUUCUGAGAAUCCACGUAAGACUGAAGUGCCCUGAGAGCCCACCCGGAGCAGCAGAUUCUGGAGUCUCCAUUGUUUGGCUUUUGGUGGUAGCAGUGGUCUUUCCCCUAAACCUCGGGAUAGCAGGGUAGAAAUCUUUGGCAGCAUACCUAAGUUAUCAACACAAGGCUGCGUGUACCUCUGUCUGCAGAAUGGGAAGUAGACUUGCAGCAGUUGAGGUUGGUCAAUGGCACUGCGCGGUGAAGGAUUUUCCUUGUAGUUGGAGCUGGAGGAGGCGAACCUGCUUCUGGGAGAAACAGGGCAUUGAGGCAAGAGUGAGUGGAAACUGGAACUGCUAGGCAAUCCCAAGAUUAUUUUCUAUUUUAUUCUGGGAGGGAAGUGGAAGUUACAAAAAAACUUGGCAAAGGCCAUUGAAAUAAGGCUAUUUUCUUUGUGUAACAGACAGGCUAAGAAUUUAACUUUGUGUCUACAGUUGUGUCUUCUGUACUCUAGAAAUAACCUUUCCUAUGACCAGGUUUUAUUUUUUGGAAUACCAGUGCUAAUGUAGUUUGAAAUAGCUUGGUGCAGUUAAACCUAUGUUUAAGGUAUUAGAGGUGUUGUACUGAAACCUCAUCCUAAUUAACUGUUGAACAAGGGUGCUGCAACUUUGCUUUGUAUAGCCAACACAAAAGUAAUUACUUGCUGAAUUAUAUAUAAAUGUUCUGAAAUGUGCAUACGAAGUCCUGAGCUCAGUGGAAAAAAAAAACCAGCAUUAGACUAUUGAUGAAUGAUUGCUGCUUUGUUUUGAGUUCCGCUGGGCUGCGAGGCAGUACCGCCUUUUUGUCAAAUGGCAGUUUUUACCCCGUCUGAUGGUUCUUACAUCUUAAGCGUUGGAAACUACAUUCUUGCACCAACGCUUGGUCUCUUGCAGAGCUCCUGUGAAUGUUCUUCAGCUGUUGUAAAAUGAUGCAUUGCUGCUUUUAAUAAAAGUAAGUCUCAAUCCUGAAUGUUGAUCCACUUGUGCAGUAAAAUCCUUUUUCUGUUUUGUAGUAACUCGCAGGAGCAGUAGUUGUGGGAACAUCAUUAACAGUAUAAGAGACUCAAGUUAAUGAGCAGCAGCAUAUUUAAGCUGUGGAGUAGACUUAUUUAGGCAAGCCAGAGCUGUUUAAUACUCUGUAUUUUGGCAGCUGGGUGACUUCAGAGAUGUCUAAAUUCAUAUAUAGGCAAAAGCUCAGUCACAGUGAAUGCCAUUGUUUUUUGCUGUACUGAGUCCCAGCUCCCAUUAGCAUGUCACAAAAUUGUGACUGACUAACAGUUCCCUCAGGUGCUGCUUCCAGAAGAGGCAGAGAAAGGAUGGUCUUAGUUUGGGGAGAUGGUACAUAGAUACAGCAGUCGGCUUCCAUCCUUUAGUUUCUUCUUUCACCAACUGAAAUGCAGGAGGCUCGCUCUGAACAUCAGGAAACAUACUCUGAGAAUGACAGAGUGCUAGCUCAGGUUGCCCAGGGAGGUUGUGGAGCCUCCAUCCUUGGAAAUACUAAAAAAACAUCUGGAUGGGCAACUGGCUCUAGGUGGGCCUGCUUGAGCAGGGCGGUUGGGCUGGAUUACCUCUGCAGAUCCCUUCCAACCUCAAUGAUUGUAUGUGAUUUCUUUUCUAGCUUUAUACCAAAAAAAAGAAUUUUACCUUUCCUGCAGUACUCUCCCCAUCUCAGUUUGUUCCAUUGCUGUUUAUUGUCACAUGAAUAAUCCUUUAAUUUAUAAAGCAGAGGGGGGAAGGGUUACAGAAGAUCAAUAUUACUCUGAAUAAAUGCCAUGUAAAGCA